CUCUCGGUAGCCAAGUUGGUUUAAGGGGCAAGACUGUAAAUCUUGAGAUCGGGCGUUCGACUCGCCCCCGGGAGA
rnacentral:tRNA from 1 species